UUUUUUUUUUUCUUGGGGGUGGGGAGUAGGAGAGAGGAGUGUGUGUCUGUUUUUGCUAUUACACAGAACUGAUCAGAUUUCCUUUUAUAAUCACAAUUAAACUUCCAGACCCGAUCAUCUGAAUAUUUCACAUUUAGAAGAUCUGGGUGUACAUUGACUUAGUCAGUUUCAGAAAGCUUCCAAGAGACGAGGUGAGAAACCGAUGGGUGAGGUCGAGUGAAUCAUUCUAGAAACAUAAACAGCAUAGAUGGACUAGAGGAGCUCAAGGCUGACUCUGAGCUCAGUGUUCUCUCCAUCAGCUGAGACUGGGUACCAUGAGGUUAAGCCCAAAAUACGUUACUCUAGUCCCUCUAUCAGGAAGGGAAUUCCUAAGAAAGCAGGGCCUUUGUACAUCUUGUCCACAGCAGCCCCCACACAGCAGUGGACAAGAUGCCUCAUCCCCAGCACCUGCUUGGUGUUUAAUGUUGUAGUUGGUGAACAGCAAGGACUAGUUGAAAAUGCAUUACCCUUUGCCACUCUGCCCUCUACAGUAGCGGAAGUGGAGAUUCAUAAAAUCUCUCUACAAAACAGGACUGUCAAAGGACUGUCAGACAUUUAAAUCCUGGUCUGACCAGUGGCAGCUCUCAAAGAGGUUUAAGGACAGCAAUGUGGCUGACGGGAAUCGUGUUGGGGCUUAUGGAUGCACCAGCACAGUCAACACAGUUUUACUUCUAUUACAUUUCAUUUCAGGGUUCCUGAUGGGAGUCUAUGGGGAGGGGCUCAAACUUCUUCUCCACUCCUUGGCACCAUAGUGGCUCAGACCAAUAGGCUAGAGAUGUGAAGCUGUGCUCAUGAAAAUUGGAGGGGAAAAAAAAAAAAACCAAAAGAUGCAGGGGUCUUGGGAGAGGUUUCCCUCUGCUGCAGAGAAGGCCUCCCUACCCCUGAAGAGCAGGGAGUAUGAGGAAGAAUGUUAAUGAAAUGAAAUCUGGGUAGUCACUGAGACCUUCAGCGAUAGAUAAUAUGUAGAACAUUCUGAAGGGACAACAUUUUCACCAGGCAUCUAAAACCUGUCAGCAAUGGAGCCCUAAGUUACCAUUCACUCUUCCACUGCAGUGAACAACAGCCCAUGUAGCCCACCCCCACCCCACCUCCCUGACUAAUGUGGAGAUGGCUUAAAAUAACCAGUUCUCUUUAAAUGCACAUGUAUUCUAAAGGGGCUAAUCCUGUAAAUAAGGCAUCCCUCAGUGAGAUUUACUUUUGUAAGCCUCUAGCAACUAAUAUUAACUAGUAUUUAGAUUUAGGAAAGAGAAAGGUACUUCAGUAUUUAUUGGAGUUUUCUUGCUUUCUUUUAUUGGAGGGGUGGAGAAAAGAGGAUUAGUGAGGGGGAUGUUAUUAAGUGAAAAAAAAAAAACAUUAUCGCUUGUUUUGUAUGCGCUAGGAAUUAAGUUUAUAAUCUAGGAGAGGAAACAGGGAAAACACCUGAAUGACUCUGAAACACAUCUACAUCAAUGGUAGCAAACAUAUUACUGUGAGAGUCAGGGGAUG
rnacentral:lncRNA from 1 species